GAAUCCCCUUCACACGUGCAGACAAAGAGCGCCAACAACACAACCCAAAUAUGCACUUUUAAACUUUUCCAAACGAAACGGACGACUUCCACGAACAUAGGAAAUGCAACGAACGCAACAAGGAAUAAAGGCGGAUGAAGUCCUGGUGGUUUAGGGAGUGUGGGGCAUUGAGCAACAGGUAUAAGACACAGCACAGUGGGUUGAAACCUGUUUAAUUGGAAAAGCUUUUCUUUUUCGGGAGGCCUGAAUUGGGAAAAAGUACCUUGGAGCCGUACCUUUACAACAGGAUUUUAGCUGCAGGACCUCUGAAUAACCACCUACACUGUGGCGGAUUGACCCGCGACCUGUACCGGACUCAUGGAAUCAGAAUUGGAUUAUAUCUUCCGGCGCACAUCACAACAAAGGCGUUCCAAAUUGGAUAGGCGUCUCAUCGGACCCUCAAGGACAACACGGAGACUAACCCUAGGUCAGCAGAAGGUCAAGCCCUGCCCGAAGUUAGAGGUCAGGGGUUAAAGGUCAUGUCCUGUUGACCCUGCGUGUGAGAUAAGCGGGCGAGGCUGGGAGCAGUGAGCCCCUUGUGGACGGACCUGGCUGUGGACCACGGUUGUUAUUGGCAGCUUGUCAGGCUGAGCAGAGCUGGACAGCAGGAGG